rnacentral:lncRNA from 1 species
CAUGCUAAGAUAAAUAAUAUUAUUUAAUAUGCACAUGAGAUAUGAAAAUAAAACUUACAUCGAUCUAAUCGAUGCUGCCACGCAGAUCUAACCGUUAGAUCUAACAAACACGAUCAAAGAAGUUUGGAAAUCAUUGCCAAACUAAAAACUCUUGAUUUUUGCUAGUCCAAUGCUUGGAAAGCAUCUCAUUCAGAUUGCUUGCAGCCACACAAAGUUAUCCGACCUCUACAGAACGUCCACAUG